UGGGGAAUCUUGCACAAUGGGCGAAAGCCUGAUGCAGCAACGCCGCGUGCGGGAAGAAGGCCCUAGGGUUGUAAACCGCUUUCAGCAGGGAAGAAAAUGACGGUACCUGUAGAAGAAGGUGCGGCCAACUACGUGCCAGCAGCCGCGGUGACACGUAGGCACCAAGCGUUGUCCGGAUUUAUUGGGCGUAAAGAGCUCGUAGGCGGUUCGGUAAGUCGGGUGUGAAAACUCUGGGCUCAACCCAGAGCCGCCACCCGAUACUGCUGUGACGUGAGUUCGGUAGGGGAGCGGGGAAUUCCUGGUGUAGCGGUGAAAUGCGCAGAUAUCAGGAGGAACACCAGUGGCGAAGGCGCCGCUCUGGGCCGAGACUGACGCUGAGGAGCGAAAGCGUGGGUAGCAAACA
rnacentral:rRNA from 1 species